AUUAGGGUUUGAUUCCGGAGAAGGAGCAUGAGAAACGGCUACUAUUUCUAAGGAAAGCAGCAGGCGCGCAAAUUAUUCAAUGGAAACAAUUUUCCGAAAUAGUGACAAAAAUAUCAAUGCUGGAUACUAUGUAUCUAGUAAUUGGAAUGAGUACAAUUUAAAUCCCUUAACAAGUAACAAUUAGAGGGCAAGUCUGGUGCCAGCAGCCGCGGUAAUUCCAGCUCUAAUAGCGUAUAUUAAUAUUGUUGCAGUUAAAAAGCUCGUAGUUGAAAUUUGGGACUUAUUAUAUUGGUUUAUCUUAUGAUGAACUGUAUAAUGGGUUUCUUCCUACUAGAGUUCGAUUCUGUUCUUAAUUGAAUGGAGUAGCUAUCUCUCGGGGUGGUCAAUUGGUUGUUAUAUCUCCACUAAUAAGCAGAGAGGGGUAAAAUUCGUCAAAGUAAGUUAUGUGGUCAAGGUAUGAUGAUUAAUU
rnacentral:rRNA from 1 species